rnacentral:lncRNA from 1 species
GGGCUGUGGGGAGGGAUCAGCCAGAAGGAGAAGCACAGCAAUAACUUGGCAGACUGUGAUGUAGCUGAGACUCCCUGGCGCUGCUGUCCGGAGAGGACUGUUCUUCCGCCAUCCCACGAAGGUCUGGGAUCCGUCAGCCUCUCUGACUGCCAAAGUUCUGGUUCGCAGGCCAUGACAGGAGGACUCCGAAGUCUGCGCUUUGAAAUAAAAGAGCUGGAGCUGAGUAGCAGCUAUGCUCUUGGAUGGAGUUCGAGCUCUCCUGCUGCCCCAGCCCCACGGACCUGGGCUGACCGCCCUGUGACUCCGGGCAGCCCCGCAUCUGUCCGGGCCAUGGGUUCAUCUACAGCGUGGAAACACCGGGGCCCCGGCAGCACGAUGCUGAGAGAAGCCACACACAGAGCGCCAUGAAUCACCUGACCACGUCCCAGCCCCAACGCCAGGGCCAGGGCUGAAGCCGGAGGGCUGCUAAUGACCGAGCGAUUCCAUUCAACGGGAAGCCACUGAGAUGAACGCUGCAGACAGCGCCCUGGGGUAGGUGCGGGUAAGCUCGAUGUUUUAAAUGCC